GCCAGAGCGGUGGAACAGGCGGGUGUAAUACGUAAGGUGGGGCGGUGGUCCGGAAUUACGGGGCGUAAAGAGCUCGGAGGCGGCUUGUCGCGUUGUGCGUGAAAAUUUACCGCUCAACGGUGAACUUGCGGGCGGUACGGGCAGGCUAGAGUACUGCAGGGGAGACUGGAAUUCCUGGUGUAGCGGUGAAAUGCGCAGAUAUCAGGAGGAACACCGGUGGCGAAGGCGGGUCUCUGGGCAGUAACUGACGCUGAGGAGCGAAAGCGUGGGGAGCGAACAGGAUUAGAUACCCGGGUAGUC
rnacentral:rRNA from 1 species